UAGUAGUUAGUAUCUGCAAAUCCCAAAUUCCUAAUCUAUCCCUCCACCACCACCCCCUUUCCUCCCUGGUAACCACACGUUUGUUUUCUAUGCUUGUCUUGAUGGCUUCUCACCUGCUUCUCUCCACUUCUCUGCCUCAUUUCUCUCCAUCUCCUCCUUCUAUCUUUCACUGCUUCAUCACGCACGUGGAAAAAUCUCCAUCAGCGCUCCCAAGUUUAGAGAUCCUCAUUCCAGACAGCCACAGUAUCCUUAAAACUCCACAUUCCAAGGAGGACACUUGGGUCAGGGGCUCAGCUGAAGGGCAGGGAAAUAGAGAAAAAGACGGCUGCCAGGCCCAAGGGCAACAGGGAAGCCGGGCAGGCAGCUGUUGUCAUGGCCCAAGUGACAGUUUAAAAAGUCAAGGCAGAAGUAAGUCACAUCCUUGUCACAGAUGUGGAAACUGAGGCACAGAAUGAGCCUGGCUUGGGGUCCGGAUCUCUGGCUUUUGUGUCCGUACAGGGUCCACCAGACAUGGUCUCUGAUUCCCAGGGGAAGCGUGGUUUCUCUACUCUGUCUCUCCACACAGCACUGGCUCACCAGGGGGUCUUGGGGCCUUCUUAGGAUACAUUCAGUUCCAGAGGCUCAGGAAAGAAGCAUCCAAAGUGAAGUUCUAAAACAGCUGAGGCUCAAGGAAUAAGCACACCGAGGUCCUGGGACCAGCUCUUUGCUAACUUGUGGUCUGGUGCCUUCGUGAAGUUAACACCUGGCGCUCCUGGAUUUAAGACAGAUCUGCAAAUCUUCCAUUCUUUCUACCGUGUGACAAACCCUCAUACACCUCACAACAACCCUAUGAGACAGGUGCUUUUGGACCCAUGUUCCAGGUGAGCCAGUAGGGGCCCAGAGGUAAGCAGCUAGUUCAAGGUCACACAGCUGGGGCGGGAUGUGAGCACAGCCUUGUCUGAUUCCCGAGAGCCCUUGGGGAUGCUCCUCCGCUCUCUGCUUCAUUUCCUUGUCUGUCAGAUGGGAACGAUAAUGCCCAUCUCACUUGGAUAUUGUAGGGGGGAGAACAGACAAAAGAAGAGAAAGUGCUCUGAAAACACAAGCAGCCCCUGCAGAUGGGAAUUAUUUUUGUUGCUGUCACACAUCGCCAGCCUCCCCCCAACCCCGACCGUGCUUUGUGAGCUGUACCCAGCCAUGAGCUCCUCCCUGUCAGCGGCAGGGCGGAGAGCCUGUCUUCACCCUGAGCCCCACUGCCUCACCCCCACCUCCCCAGGCUUGGAAGGAGUGUAGCUCAUGCUGUGUCCUCCCUUACUGCUGGGGGAACGGGGAACCUAGAACUUGGGUCUCAGCAUAUUGAGGAGAUAAGGACAUAGAUUUUUCCCCCCAAAAUUUAUUUUUAUUUGUGGAUUCAGGUUUGCAUGCAAGCUUCUGCCAGAGAUAGAAGAUAACCCAAUGAUGGGGAUUGUUUAAUAACUGAGGGAUGGGAAAGGAAACAUCCUUUGUUAAUGAGUACCUACUGUAUACCCGGCAGCUCUGUGACUAUUGAUCAUCCUUGCAAUGUAAUAUGGGCUUCAUUUGUCCCCAUUUUACUGACCGGGCACACGACCCAGCAAGGCUGUAUUUCACGUGCUAGUUCAACAGUGGUGGCAGGGCUGGGAUUGGAACCCAGGUCUCCAAAGCCUCUGUCUUUCUGCCACUGCCUCCCACUGUAGGGGAGGCCAUGGAAUAGGUGUCGGAGAUGUCCCUUUCCAGUCAAGCAGACUUGGAAGCUGCUGGAAGUUACUUAUGCAAAGUUCAGCAAGGAAGGAAGUGGAGUCAGAGCUGCUGGGCCCCCAGGCAGCUUGCCCGUGCUGGCCCGCACUGUCUGGCCAGCUGUCCUCACCCAGGCUUGGACCCGGCUGGCUAUGUCCUAUGGAGGCAUCCUGGACGUUGCGCAAUCCCGGAACUGUCUGUCAGGUUCCACCAAGGUUCAGCCCAACUCGUCAGCCAGGGCAGGUACCCGGGGCACGUUCCAAGGGAUAGAACAGGUAGGCAGGAGACUCAGGAUCCAUCUUCAUGGCCAAAGGCAGAGCUAAGAGGCUUUCUGAGCCGUGGCAAAGUGGGACGUGUCCAAAAGCUCUGUUUGACCGUCAAGCAAGGAGGAGAGGACAUGGGAGAGCUCACCUCAGCUCCUUGACCUAGGUGCGUUCGGCCAGCUCUUGAAGGGGUGACCCUGCCUUUCUCCAUUUGUUUAAAGAAGAGCCCGAUAUGGUUCCCCUAGAAAGGAUUUGAUAACAACAAAGUGCCACCAUACGUGUUUUGUCUUCUCAUUCUCUCAAUAGUCCCGGGAGUCCUGAGGCGAGUGGGGAAAGCAGGGCCCAGAAAAGUUAAGUUGCUUCUCCAGAGUCACACAGCUGGUAAACAGUGUCCAUCUCAGCUGUCUUGUCUCUCACAUGCAAUGGUCGGUGCUCAAUGCACACAAAAGCUAGCUGAACAGCUGUAUUGAGUCUGUAUGCAGGUCACAGUCUCCCUCAUUCUGUUUUUCAGGAAGAGCUCGUUAUUCUCGGUUAACCAAGAAAUAAUCAGAUCAGCCAACACUUCUGCAUGAUGGUUGAUUAAAUAUACAGAACAACUCGGACCCAAAUAGAUGCUCAGAAUGAAUAUGGAGUUCCUACUUCAGUAUACAGCUUUAAGGUGUAUAUACCUACACCUAUCAUAGUAUGACAUGUGUUCACACUCUUACCUCAGUCCCUGAUUCCACAUGACAGCAAACAUGAUUUCAGGCUUUGUUUACAGAGCCUCUAGUGAAUGCCAAACCCUGCCUCAGCGACUGGAGAAGUCGGUCAGUAUUACUUGGGAGGAUUCUUUGGUUGCAAAGAGCAGAAACCCAAGUUGCACUUGCUUUGGAGAAAGGAGGCUUCAUGGACUCAGAUAAGCAAAGCAUGAGAAGUGCAGUCCCAGGAAUGACCACAGCCAGGAGUUCAGAUGCCUCCCAGUUCUUUCUGUCUUCUCCUUUCAUGCCAGCUCUCUUCGCACAGAAUGGCUCCCUUCACUGGGCUGGAGACAGGCAGCCAUCAGGCUCACAGCUUAAGCUUAAACAUUGGCGACGACUGUCCCUCUUGUGUCAGAGACCACUUGUGUCUCGCACUCUGCCAGGAAGGCAGGGUAACGGCAGCUCCCAUUUCAGCCACCUGGUUAGAAUUAGAGGAAUGAACACAUCCCAAAACAGGGGGUUGGAGGAAGGAGGGUGACGCUCUAGGUGACAGGCAGUACCCACUCCCUGGUCUGAAGGACCUGUCAGUCUCCUGGGGGGCGUGGGCAGGGACAAGUAGGUCAGCAGCUGUUAGCACAGUCCCAUAAGCUUGACGACAUGCGAGCCUUGAAAACCAGAGGAGGGCCAUCCAUGUGGGUCUGGAUUGCAGUGAGGAGGGACCCAGGAAAGCGUUACAGGGUUGUUGAGGGACACUUGAGGACUGGGAAUCAUCCAGGUAUCAAGGGAGGAAGAGCAUCCCCGCCAGACACAACCACACCAGCAAGAAUCCAGAAGAGCGUGGAAAGGCAAGUAGCUCAGUACUGUCAGAGGCCCAGGGGCAAAAGGAGGGUGAUAGGUCCUGAUGUUAAGGAUAGAAGAAUAAAGGUCCCCAAAAUAUUUGUAGAUUUAGGAUCUCAAGAACCCUGAAAGGAUUUGUUUAGAAUAGGAUCAAAGAACGGCCUGAACAAAGUACACAGGCUGAGAGGUGUUGGAUAGCACGCAAUGUGGUGAGGAAUGUUGCCUUGAAACAUGAUGGUAUUCUAUAGGAUUUUCCUUUGGGAAGAGAGGGGAAAAUCUCACAUUGUCCGAGUAACUAAUGAGUUUCCCUGUCUGUAUAAAGUUUUGGUAAAUGUAGUUUAUGGGGGGUGAUGGUGAGACAAGCAAAACAGAUCACCGUGCAGUUUGUAAUUAUGGUUAUUAAGUUGGUCUAUCCUUCAGAUCAUGCUUUUAAACACGAUUUUCAAAAAUUAAAGGUCAGUUAAGUUAGUACGAAAUAUUGAAGGAGGGAGAUUACGUUUGCCUGAGGUUAAAAAGGAACAUGGGAGAUGGUGACACAAGUGAUCAAAAGAGCCAAGCUGCCCCUUAGGAUGCAAGAGGGUGCUGUGCGGCUUGGAAAUCAGAUACGUGCCCAGCAACAUGGAAUGAGAUAAAUAAACCCCAGACAUUUGAAAGAUUGGAACUGAUACGGGAUGUUCAGGUGCCACUUCAAGAAAAUGAAAUGACACUAAUAAAGGCGAGGAGAAGUCAGUGGAGGGAGUGUCAGGUAUUAGAGAAAGUGAGGAGCCAGGGUUUUGCAGGAAGGAGGGGAGGAGUGGCAGGAAGAGCGGCUCUUCCCACACAGGAGCCUCCUCCCCCUCCUCCCUCUUGCUAAAAGGUGGGUUUGUUUCAGCUGAAAUGACUGCAAGGCAAAUUUUUGUAUUAAAAAGGAGGUUAUUUUCACCAGAGAUCAAUAAAGAAGGGAGACCCCCCCUCAAAAAAGAGCUACUUUGUACCUACUUUGUACCAUAAAAUCAGAGCCCUGCUGUCAUGAAAUAAAAUCUCGUGAUAGGAUGAGUAGAAGAGUUGAUACCAUGCGGAAGGAAAGAUGGCAGCCCAUUCAGUGCCACGCUGGACGUAAUUGUACACGAGCCGUGCGUCUCCUGCUGGGAGUUGUAGCUCCUGCCCAGCAGUUCACAUUUUCAUUGCAGCUGUUUUCUGUGCAUUCUGAGGUUUCCGAAAUCCAUCACCCACCAACACUGAUCUUUAGCCCUUAGUCUAGGUGUUAUUAACCCAGAGCCCAGGGACAUUUAGGGGAUCAACGGCUGGUUUUUCAUACGGUCUGUGAACUCUCUGAAAUUAUACACAAGAUGUUGUGUGUGAGUGUCUCGUCUUUUCUGGUAAAAGGCAUCUGAAUUCUCAAAACAGUUCAUGACCGCCCCCUCCUCCUAAAAAAAGAUUAAGAACUAUUCCCUAGAAUAGAGAGUUUUUGCUACACUUAGAGAAUUCCACAUUUGACAAGGCACUCGCCCAACUGGGAUGCAGUUUCACACUUAAAAGCAGGUCAGCUUCCAGCUGGACAAAUUCAUCAGGGACAUAUUGUAGGAAUUCCAUGAGAAUCAGAAAUGUAGUGUAUUGAAUUUAUUUAGAAUAAGGAUCACUAUAUACAAGUUCUUUCAAAAGACUGAAGAUUCUGCCCUUGGCAGGAAAGACAUAUCAGAUUCACGAAGUGCGCUUGUAUUUUUAUGUCAGCCCUGAAGAAUAAUUGUGGUUUCACUAAAUGAAAUCUUUUAUAUUUCAAUUAGGAAAAGGUUGGCCGACUUUGGCUUCUAGGGGUGAAAUGUAGCCCUCGUGACAUGCCAACGCAUUGUACUUUCAAUCACUGGCAGGACUUUUGUAAUUGACAAGCAGGCAUAAGGAUAUGUCCAUAUUAUGUGUUAUGUUGAAGGAAUCACAAAUAUUCCCUUGAAAUGGAGGAGAAGAAAAUUCAAAACACAGACUUUCUUACAGAAAAUCAACUUUGAGGAAGCAGGAGGAAGAGCGGGCAAGAAUAUUUCUGGUAAAACUUGGAUGGAUGAAUAGCCAGCUAAUAUGUUGAUCAAAGACAUUAUCUUUUGGGGGAAAACAGCACAAGCCAUUUGAAAGAUAAGCAUCAUACGGCAUGAAAACAGGCAACAGAAAUCACAAUCACCUGAUUGUGACGAGGUAAUUAACAGCUGGAGUUAGCACAGAAGAAUGCUCAAAAAAAGAGUAAGAGUAGUUAGGAAGAAAAAAAACCAAAACAGCAGAUCUUUAACAUCAGAAACAAUGGAGCCAAUUAUUCAGCAAAUUGAGAAAAGAAGCCUCAUUAGACUUGAAUUAUCUGGAUAAUUACUAAAACUUCCUCCACGAAUAUGCCUCUGUCCUCUGCUCUUCUCUCUGUAAAUUCUGUAUGGAAGGCAUCAUCCAUGUAGAUAGCUUCAAAGAGAUCUUCUGUGUGUAUAAAUCCCAGCUCUGUGUCUCCGGGGCUCUGUUCCUUUAUAUCUAGCCAUAAUCUCCCAGGCGGCCUGCGCAAAUGGAAAGCAUUGUUUUCAUUCACCAAAACCAACUCUUCCUCUUCUGUAAGUGUCCCUUUCUGUCCAUUGUUCUGUCAUUCCUACCUCCUUGUGGAGUGUGAAAACUUAAAUUUCUUUUACUUUGCCUUACCUCCCAUUUCUGCAUUCAGAUAUUUUUCUCAGAUAUCCCUUCAUUCAUUCGUACAUUUCACAAGCAUUUAUGAGCUCCAGCUGUAUUCUGGAAACUGUGUUUGGUGCUGGAGACAGUCUUGUGAACAAGCGAUUUCAAUUGUGUGAUAAAUGUCAUCGCAGAGGCGAGCACAGAGUGCUGGGGGGAGGACGUGCCAGGCUCACCAAACCAGGCUGGGGAGCUUGGGAAUUGCUUCUUAGAGAAGGUGAUGUCUCAGGUUUGGAUGAUGAGUGGGGACCGGGCAAGAAAGAGGGCAAGGGGCAACAUUCGAGAGGGCCUUUUAUAGCAUGCUAAGAAGUUUGGAGGACAGGGAAGCACCAUGAAAAAGGGAAGGAGGGGCCUAAUGUGAUUUGCAACUUGAACAGCCGGCUCCAGCUGUGUUGCGAGAAUGAAACUGAAUGGGCAUGAAGCAGGUCAGGGAGAUGAGUUAGGAAACUGUUACCAAGAUCUGGGCCAGAAGGGAUGGCGGCCAAUGAAUAAGAGAUUUAGGGGGAAAUGGAAAGAAGCAGUUGUGUUCAUGAGCUAUAAGUAGGUAGAAACAACAGGAUCUGUGCCUGAUUGGGAGUGGGGGUGGGCCAGGGCGGCAUCCAGGAUGCAGGAAUGGAUGGAUAGUCGGAUGAUCCACUGACAUGGGCUUUAAACAGCUUUGAUAAACAAGACAGUAAGUUCAGCUUUGGGAUGUGUGAACUUGUUAUUUCAGGUGGAGCAGGUCUAGGUGGAUGAUGAGGCUCAAGGUAUAUAGGCUUGAGAGUGGGCGGCUGAAGCAGUGGAGAAGGGAAGAGAGUCGUG